rnacentral:rRNA from 1 species
AUUGAACGCUGGCGGCAGGCCUAACACAUGCAAGUCGAGCGGAUGAAGGUAGCUUUCUUCUGGAUUCAGCGGCGGACGGGUGAGUAAUUCCUAGGAAUCUGCCUGGUCGUGGGGGAUAACGUCCGGUAACGGGCGCUAAUACCGCAUACGUUCUGAGGGUGAAAGUGGGGGAUCUUCGUACCUCACUCUAUCAGCUUAGCCUAGGUCGGAUUAGCUAGUGGGUUGGGUAAUGGCCUACCAAGGCGACGAUCCGUAACUGGUCUGAGAGGAUGAUCAGUAACACUGGAACUGAGAAACGGUCCAGACUCCUACGGGAGGCAGCAGUGGGGAAUAUUGGACAAUGGGCGAAAGCCUGAUCCAGACAUGCCGCGUGUGUGAAGAAGGUCUUCGGAUUGUAAAGCACUUUAAGUGGGGAGGAAGGGCAGUAAGUUAAUAACUUGCUGUUUUGACGUUACCAACAGAAUAAGCACCGGCUAACUUCGUG